rnacentral:ncRNA from 1 species
ACGUCCUGCCUCGUGAUCGUCUUCUCACCUUUCACCCGGCGGACGGAACAGAGCGAAGCCCCGCGAGGACGUGACUCGCGGGGCUUCGUG